rnacentral:tRNA from 3 species
GCGGGCGUCGUAUAGUGGCUAUUAUGUCAGGUUUCCAACCUGAAAACGGGAGUUCGAUUCUCCUCGCCCGCU